rnacentral:rRNA from 1 species
GAUGAACGCUAGCGGCAGGCUUAAUACAUGCAAGUCGAGGGGUAGCAAGAUUGUAGCAAUACAAUCGUUGACGACCGGCAAACGGGUGCGGAACACGUACACAACCUUCCUACAAGUGGGGAAUAGCCCAGAGAAAUUUGGAUUAAUACCCCGUAACAUAGCGAUGUGGCAUCACAUUGCUAUUAUAGCUUCGGCGCUUGUUGAUGGGUGUGCGGCUGAUUAGAUAGUUGGCGGGGUAACGGCCCACCAAGUCUACGAUCAGUAGCUGAUGUGAGAGCAUGAUCAGGCACACGGGAACUGAGACACGGGCCAGACUCCUACGGGAGGCAGCAGUAGGGAAUAUUGGGCAAUGGACGCAAGUCUGACCCAGCCACGCCGCGUGCAGGAAGACGGCCCUCUGGGUUGUAAACUGCUUUUGACUGGGAAGAAAAGGCUCCUUGCGAGGAGAGUUGACGGUACCAGCAGAAUAAGCCACGGCUAACUACGUGCCAGCAGCCGCCGUAAAAC